CACGAGUAAAGCACUUUUAUUCUCAACCACAAAGAUGUGGAACAUCAUUCCCCAUUUCACAAAGGGAAAUGGAGAUCUGCUGACACUCAUGAAAUCUGUGGAUUAGCAGGAUCCAUGUGAGGCCUCUCCUCCUAGCUGAGCAACCUAACCACUGGAUCAUUCCUUCUGCCUGGUCUGCCUUGGCUACAGAAUAGCACAGACAAGAGUGUACAGAAGAGAGACAGUUCAGAAAGUCUAAAUUUAAGGAGUUUUUCCUGGUAAUACACUGAUGAACUAGUAACUUGGAUGACAUUGCCAAUAGUUUGCACAUCACAGUGUUUAUAUCCAAAGAACAAUAACCUAAACUAUGGCUCCUGUAGCUUGAGGGUUUUUACAAAGCUCCUCUGAAGCCAAAAUUUAGAGAUCUUCACUUUUUCUUCUUUUUGCCAAGCAAAGGUUUCAAAACUAUGUUGUUAAAGACAUCAAAAGAAGGAAUACAACUAACAUUGUUAAACUUCAACAUUUAAAAUUGCCAUUCUUGUUGAAAUCAGAACACCUUCUGAAAUGUAAUGACCACUAAAGGAUCAAGGGACACUGCAGAAAGCAUUAACAAAGGUGAUUUCCAUCAUCAUUCCACUAACAUCAUCCCUAGUGACACAGCUUUCCAGGAUGCUGAAAUACAUUCUUCUUCCAAAGAUUAAAUGGGAUAGAAUUUUACUUUGACCCAUGAGCCAUAUUAACUGAAGAUGAGACACUUUACACUUCACAUACAUACUGUAGUGGAGGUUAUAGAGCUUCUUUUCUUCAAUAACUGCCAUGCAUUACUGUCACAGUAUUUUCUAGAGUUGAAGAGCAGUACACAGGUUUAUGGAUAAUCCAUGUCAUGAUACUUAUACCAGUACAUGUUCCGUCAUGUAUAUUUUGGACAUAGAAACCUUUUGUAAAGAUUAGUAAUUGUUUAAAUUUUUCUAACAGAUGUCAUACAGGAAGUGUGGGAAGUUUUAUAAUGUAUAAUAAUUCACUUUGGGAGUAAC
rnacentral:lncRNA from 1 species